UACGGGGGGGGCAAGCGGUUGUUCGGAAUUACUGGGCGUAAAGGGCUCGUAGGCGGCCAACUAAGUCGGACGUGAAAUCCCUCGGCUUAACCGGGGAACUGCGUCCGAUACUGGAUGGCUUGAGUUCGGGAGAGGGAUGCGGAAUUCCAGGUGUAGCGGUGAAAUGCGUAGAAUAUCUGGAGGAACACCCGUAGCGGAAGGGCGGCCACUC
rnacentral:rRNA from 1 species